UGGGGAAUAUUGCACAAUGGGCGCAAGCCUGAUGCAGCCAUGCCGCGUGUAUGCAGAAGGCCUUCGGGUUGUAAAGUACUUUCAGUCGGGAGGAAGGUGGUAAGGUUAAUAACCUUAUCAAUUGACGUUACCGACAGAAGAAGCACCGGCUAACUCCGUGCCAGCAGCCGCGGUAAUACGGAGGGUGCAAGCGUUAAUCGGAAUUACUGGGCGUAAAGCGCACGCAGGCGGUUGAUUGAGUCAGAUGUGAAAUCCCCGGGCUUAACCCGGGAAUUGCAUCUGAUACUGGUCAGCUAGAGUCUUGUAGAGGGGGGUAGAAUUCCAUGUGUAGCGGUGAAAUGCGUAGAGAUGUGGAGGAAUACCGGUGGCGAAGGCGGCCCCCUGGACGAAGACUGACGCUCAGGUGCGAAAGCGUGGGGAGCAAACAGG
rnacentral:rRNA from 1 species